AGCUAACCUUACUUAAGGUUGAGGAUACCCUCGGGAAACUGAGAAUAAUACUCAAUAGAAGAUUAUUACUGGAAUGUGUAAUCUUUGAAAUUCGGGCCUUAAGAUGGGGCUGCGGCUGAUUAGGUUGUUGGCGGGGUAAUUGCCCACCAAGCCGAUGAUCAGUAAGGGCUCUUAGCGGAGAGGCCCUGAGAAGGAAUCUGAGACACUAUUCCUAGCCCUACGGGGUGCAGCAGUUAAGAAUUUUUUGCAAUGCGCGAAAGCGUGACAAAGUGAACCAGAGUGUUUUUUCGAAAAGAAAAAACUUUUGCUAAAUGUAAAAAGUUUGGCGAAUAAGGACCGGGAAAGACUGGUGCCAGCCGCCGCGGUAAUACCAGCGGUUCAAGUCGCAGCCACAUUUAUUGGGUCUAAAACAUCUGUAGCUCGCUGUGUAAGUCUCUUGUGAAAUCCUAUAUCUUAAAUAUAGGGCGCGCAAAAGAUACUGCAUGGCUAGAGACUGGAAGACGUAAAGAGUACGUAUUGGGUACCGGUAAAAUGGGUUGAUCCUGUAUGGACUAACAAUAGCGAAGGCACUUUACGAGUACAGAUCUGACAGUGAGAGAUGAAGGCUAGGGUCGCGAAAAGGAUUAGAUACCCUUGUAGUCCUAGCAAUAAACACUGCACACUAAACAUCGGUAUCUCUUCGAGAGGCAUCGGUGCUGUAGGGAAGCCGGAGAGUGUGCUACCUGGGAAGUAUAGUCGCAAGGCCGAAACUUAA
rnacentral:rRNA from 1 species